UACGUAGGUGGCAAGCGUUGUCCGGAUUUACUGGGUGUAAAGGGCGUGCAGCCGGAGAGACAAGUCAGAUGUGAAAUCCACGGGCUCAACCCGUGAACUGCAUUUGAAACUGUUUCCCUUGAGUGUCGGAGAGGUAAUCGGGAUUCCUUGUGUAGCGGUGAAAUGCGUAGAUAUAAGGAAGAACACCAGUGGCGAAGGCGGAUUACUGGACGAUAACUGACGGUGAGGCGCGAAAGCGUGGGGAGCAAACAGG
rnacentral:rRNA from 1 species